rnacentral:rRNA from 1 species
CAGCAGCCGCGGUAACACGAAGGGGGCUAGCGUUGUUCGGAUUAACUGGGCGUAAAGGGCGCGUAGGCGGGCUUUUAGGUCAGAGGUGAAAUCCCAAGGCUCAACCUUGGAACUGCCUUUGAUACUGAAGAUCUUGAGUUCGGGAGAGGUGAGUGGAACUGCGAGUGUAGAGGUGAAAUUCGUAGAUAUUCGCAAGAACACCAGUGGCGAAGGCGGCUCACUGGCCCGAUACUGACGCUGAGGCACGAAAGCGUGGGGAGCAAACAGGAUUAGAUACCCGCGUAGUCCCUGUCUCUUAUAC